rnacentral:lncRNA from 1 species
AAGCCUAUGAAUUCCCAGAUUUAAUCAUUAACCUUUGUAUAUAAUGUUAUCAAAAGAGACUCCAAAGAAUGGAAAGAUUUAAGCAAUACUUUAAAGAUUUACCUAAAACCUCUAAACCAAAUCUUAAAAGUCCUAGGAUAUUCACUAAAAUGCAAAGUUCUUAUAAAUAAUUUCUAAAUAUUUCAAGAUAAAACCAAGCACAAACAAAAAACACCAAGCUGAAUUCUAAAGUGUGGAAUCCAGGUUGCAAUCAGCUUAUAAAGGAGCUUGACACCACACUAAACAAUUUGUUAGUGGAAGUCAUUACCAGGGCUUGGAUCCUUUCCUCAAGGUAGGGAAGCCCUGAGUUUCAUAAACUCUAAUGAAGUAAUUUCUAAGUGAGAAAUUCAGUUAGGGGACCAUACCAAAUCUCAGCCUUAGAGACCUGCCUAUCAGCAAAGUGGCCACCAAACAGAGGCCACUGCUGCCCAGAUGCAGCAAAACUGGUAUCACAGGGCAUGUGUGCUACAGGCUCGGCUGGCACUGAGCACUGUGCAAGCUGUGCCUCCCACACAGUCACAAGGAAGUUAGAUUUGUAUUUUCAUAUAGAAUCAUUUUUGAUGGGUACACUGCCAUCAGAGAUUGUAGGAAUCCAGGGGUGCUUAAAACAUACAAGCGUGUAUGUGCGCAUGGGCACGUGAAAACAUACACGGAACUGAAUUUGGGUUUGCAGCAUGGCUGGGAGACUUGGUUUGGAGGUUGAGAUUAGAACCCUUGGUUUAGAGUUAGAAUUGAUGUGGGAUAACAGGUGAGAAGGCUAGACUGAGAGCUGGAAGGACAGGAUGCCAUUCUGGCUCUGGUUUAUAUGAACUGUGUAGUCCUGGGCAAAUAGCAAACCUACAAACUGCAGUGUUCUCAGUAGUGUAUCUAAUGAAAUUAUGAAUAUGAAACCCCUGGCCAAGCACGGUGACUCACGCCCGUAAUCCCAGCACUUUGGAAGGCUGAGGUGGGCAGAUCAUGAGGUCAGGAGUUCGAGACCAGCCUAGCCAACAUGGUGAAACCCCGUCUCUACUAAAAAUACAAAAAUUAGCCGGGCGUGGUGGCAGGCGCCUGUAAUCCCAGCUACUCGGGAGGCUGAGGCAGGAGAAUCACCUGAAACCAGAAGGCAGAGGUUGCAGUGAGCCAAGAUCACCCCACUGCACUCCAGCCUGGGCAACAAGAGUGAAACUCCGUCUCAAAAAAAAAAAAAAAAAAAAACCUUUGAAAAUGAAUACCAGGUGUCAUUCAAGGGUUGGAAGAGAUGAGUGCCCUUGGGUUGUUGGAAUGAUGUGACACCUUUUGGCUCUAUAAUAAGUGGUCUCAGAAACUAGGAUACUUCUUGACUUGUGUCUGCUUUUAAGUUUUCCACUCUCAGCCUGUUCUGGAGCUGAAAGGAAGCUAGAGUCAUAUAGCCAAACCUUUGAAUUUUAAAGAUAAGGAAACUGAAGCCCAAAGAGACUGAAUUGCAUAGCAGAAUCAUGGAGCUGCUGACAGCACUGAGACUAGAAUCCAUGCUUUAUGUCUCCAUCCCCUUUCCCAUGUGAUCCUGUGUUCUUCCCUUUUCUUUUUACUCAUGGCGGUACACCUAUCUAAUUUAGCAGUCUCUUACAUUUCUUCUACCAUUUGAUGUAAGCCUAGAAACUGGAAAAGCAAACUUUUAAAAACGGAAUGAUUGAAGUUUUCUUUAGUAAAGUUUAAAAGUUAAAGUGUAAUAAAAAAAUUUUCUUUUGCUUUUUAACUUUCAUUAUGGCUACUCCAAGGUCAUCCUAUACCUUUUGAAUUUUGGCCGUGCAGUUGGAAGGAUAGAAUUGCCAUUAGCUGAGAUAGGGGACACUGCAGGAUGAGAAGUGCGAGUGGAGAGGGUAGGGCUUCAGGUUUGGAAAUAGAAGUUUCAGAUGCCUACUAGACAUCAGUGGAGAUGUUGAGUGGGCAGUUUGGACAUUAGAAGUCUGAAAUUCAGAAUAGAGAUUUGGGCUAGAUAAUAAACGUGGAAGUUGAAAGAGUGUAGAUGACAUUUAAGGCAUGUAAAUCACUAAGAGAUCACCAGUGCAUUCAGUAUAAAUAGAGAAGUCCGAGGACCAAGCAUUCAGGCACUCCUGGUAAGACGUUGGGGAAAUGAGGGGGAACCAGCAUAGGAGACUGGAAAUUAGUGGCCAUUGAAGUUGGGGAAAAACUAGAAAGACACCCCUGGGAGAAACAGUGGUGUCCUGGAAUCCAAGUGUUUCAGGGAGAAGGGAACAACUAAUGGCGUCAAAUGCUGCAGGGACUUGAUAGAUGAGUCAAUAUGGCUUCGAGGUGCUGGAAAGCAGCACACGCCUUUGGACGCUUAGCCCUAAGGUGGUAAUCAGCACAUGUAUGCACUUUAAAAAAAAAAUUGUAUUACAAACAGAUAUUAAAUAGAAGCAUGU